rnacentral:rRNA from 1 species
AUUGAACGCUGGCGGCAUGCCUUACACAUGCAAGUCGAACGGUAACAGGUCUUCGGAUGCUGACGAGUGGCGAACGGGUGAGUAAUACAUCGGAACGUGCCUAGUAGUGGGGGAUAACUACUCGAAAGAGUGGCUAAUACCGCAUGAGAUCUACGGAUGAAAGCAGGGGAUCGCAAGACCUUGUGCUACUAGACCCGCCGAUGGCAGAUUAGGUAGUUGGUGGGAUAAAAGCUUACCAAGCCGACGAUCUGUAGCUGGUCUGAGAGGACGAUCAGCCACACUGGGACUGAGACACGGCCCAGACUCCUACGGGAGGCAGCAGUGGGGAAUUUUGGACAAUGGGCGAAAGCCUGAUCCAGCAAUGCCGCGUGCAGGAUGAAGGCCUUCGGGUUGUAAACUGCUUUUGUACGGAACGAAAAGCCCCGGGUUAAUACCCUGGGGUCAUGACGGUACCGUAAGAAUAAGCACCGGCUAACUACGUGCCAGCCGCCGCGGUAA